rnacentral:rRNA from 1 species
ACGAACGCUGGCGGCGUGCUUAACCCAUGCCAGUCGAACGGAAAGGCCCUGCUUUUGUGGGGUGCUCGAGUGGCGAACGGGUGAGUAACACGUGAGUAACCUGCCCUUGACUUUGGGAUAACUUCAGGAAACUGGGGCUAAUACCGGAUAGGAGCUCCUGCUGCAUGGUGGGGGUUGGAAAGUUUCGGCGGUUGGGGAUCGACUCGCGGCUUAUCAGCUUGUUGGUGGGGUAGUGGCUUACCAAGGCUUUGACGGGUAGCCGGCCUGAGAGGGUGACCGGCCACAUUGGGACUGAGAUACGGCCCAGACUCCUACGGGAGGCAGCAGUGGGGAAUAUUGCACAAUGGGCGGAAGCCUGAUGCAGCAACGCCGCGUGCGGGAUGACGGCCUUCGGGUUGUAAACCGCUUUCGCCUGUGACGAAGCGUGAGUGACGGUAAUGGGUAAAGAAGCACCGGCUAACUACGUG